rnacentral:lncRNA from 1 species
AGAUAUAUCAAAAAAAAUAAUUAAUAUAUAUAUGUCAUUCUGUUCUUUAGGUUAUACGAACUAUUAUUUUUAUGAUAAAUUAAAUUCUUAUUUAUAUAAUAAUAUUCAUUUUAUACCUAUAAAUUCUUGUUUAACACUUUUGCUUUCAAUUUGUACGUUAAAAGAAGAACAAAACUUUAUUUUCCCCCUAUGUAUGUUGUCAUUACUAGAAAAAAAAAUUAUAAAUAAUUUUUAUGCACUUAAUGAAAAUGAUUUGUUGUUAUUAAUUUAUUUGUUUACUUAUUUAAUGUUGCAUGUACCAAACACGGAUGUAUAUGUACAUAUGUUUGAUUAUUUAUUUAAUUGUAAGCAUUUUAUUGCAUCAAGUGAAGAUGAUAAAGUUAAAUUGUUACAAAUAUAUAUUUCGUUAUCACAAUCACCCCAAAAAAAUAAACACACAUCAGAACAUUGUGCAAAGCAAGGUAGGUUAGAAGGUAAAGACCAAAGUGAUAUUAUACAUACAGACGAAAAGGCACACGAAACGACACACGAAAUAAACAAAGUAAUAAUUGAAAAAUUAAGGCAGAAGGGGAUAUUGGAGUGUAUGUUCCGAGAAAAUAUGUUACCUGACAAAGUAAUACCAAAUGAGAUACUAAACAAUAACAAUUUCAUUAAUAACGAACAAAAUGUUGAGCAAAAUUUACCUGAAUUAAAUAAUAAAAUAAACGACGAAAUACAAAUAAUAGUUGAUAUAUUAAACGAGUUAAAUAAUAAUAAUAAAAUAAAAAUAACAAAUAUAAAAAAGAAUUUGAUUUUAUAUAAUUAUUAUUUAAACCACAUUUAUUUAACCCUUGGAGAAAAACAAAUAAUAUUACAUUUUGAUUCUAAUGGGUUGUAUUGUUUGGAUAAUCCUAUAGAUAUAUAUACAAAUAUGAAAAAAAGACAUAUAUCAAAUUUGAAUAUAAAAUAUAUUUUAAUUAAGUUUAACCGAUGGAUACAGUUGUCACAUGACGAGAAAAAAAAAUUCGUUUCUGAACAAAUGGCUGCAAAUAUAUGACAUACGAGCCUUAAUAUAUGAUGCAAAUUUUUUUUACGAGUUUGACCUUGCAUUAUUUGGUCUGGUUUCGCAUUGCCUUGCUUAUAAUUGUGUGAACUUAUUUUCUUUUUUAAUUUUUUUUAUGUACCUACUUCUUCCAAUCCUCUUGUCUGAAGAUUAUUAGGCUGAUUAGUGUAGGGUACUAUUUUUAUAAACACACACAUGUACGUAUACAUACACACGUAUAUAUAUAUUUGUACCCCUUAUUAAUCCAUUAAAAUUUUAAAUACUAUUUAAAUUUAUUUAUUCAUAAAAUUUUUAUAUAAUUUACUACUUUAAUUAUUAAAAAAUAUUGAAAAAAAAAAAAAAAAAAUUUAUAUAUACAUAUACAUAUACAUAAUAUGACAAGUCAUGUUAGGAACAAUGUUAUAAUACAGUUUGAUCGAAAAACUGAACAUUAUACUCGACAAUAAACA